rnacentral:tRNA from 1 species
GGUCGCUUAGCUCAGUUGGUUAGAGCGUGGUGCUAAUAAGUUCCCUUGAUAACGCCAAGGUCGCAGGUUCGACCCCUGCAGUGAUCA